rnacentral:rRNA from 1 species
UACGGAGGGUGCAAGCGUUGUUCGGAAUCACUGGGCGUAAAGGGCGUGUAGGUGGCUAAUUAAGUCAGGUGUGAAAUCCUUCCGCUUAACGGGAGAAGUGCACUUGAAACUGCUUAGCUAGAGUACGAGAGAGGAAGGUGGAAUUCCUGGUGUAGAGGUGAAAUUCAUAGAUAUCGGGAAGAACACCGGUGGCGAAGGCGGCCUUCUGGCUCGAUACUGACGCUGAGACGCGAAAGCGUGGGGAG